rnacentral:rRNA from 1 species
AAAUCAGAAUUACACGGUUGUGCUGGUUCUUCACAAGUGCACACCGUUAUUUCUUCAUUCACCCCGUGUGCACCUAUGCGUUGCUGGUGUUUGCCAGCUUCGCCUUAUUUUACAAACUCUUUGUAUUGAAUGUAUUGAUGAAAUAAUAAUAAAAUACAACUAUCAACAACGGAUCUCUUGGCAUCCCACUCGAUGAAGAACGCAGCGAAUUGCGAUAAGUAAUGUGAAUUGCAGAAUUCAGUGAAUCAUCGAAUCUUUGAACGCACCUUGCACCUUCCAGUCCUCUGGAAGGUAUGCCCGGUUGAGUAUUAUGAUCACCUCAAACCUAUGAUUUUCUUAUUGCAAAGACCAAUGCUCCGAUGAAAGCACUCUUUGGGGUGCUAAGUAGUUGCUGCUUGGUUUGGAAGAUCUUAGGUCUUGGACUUGAGCACUGUUGGUUCCCCUCUCUGGAUCAACUUGCUUGAAAUGUAUUAGCUGGCGACCUGCCUUCAAUGGUAACCACUCGGCGUAGUAAGUCUA